AGAUUUGGUAUUUGUCGUCUGGUCUGGUGCUUCGUGUGCGGACAGUCUGGACGGUCUGGACUUUUGGUUCUUGUUGGAUGAGAUUAAUUUGUAAACUCUAUAAAUUGAGAAAGAUUCAAAUUUUCCCAUUGAUGUUCCAAUUGUUCCAUGGGAGAUACAGACAAAAACAAUUGGAGUGACAAACGAAUAAUUCUGGUGAAUUCUGAUUCUUUCCAUUCCAUGUGGUCAUUUUUCAAUCCGAUUCAAUCGUCGUCUCGUAGCCGACUGACAAUGUUUUAAUUUCCCCAUGAAACAGGAAAUAUUCUUCCUGCGUCUUCACCUCCCGUCAACUCCGCAUUAGGGUCAGUGCUCCUGCUGUCGGACGAUGUCUAUGCCGAAGACUAGGAAAACGUGAGAUUGAUACUCACACAGUAUACACCGCAACCGCCUUUGUUCAGGAAUAAUUCUGUCGGAUUAAAGCGGCACACGACGCGGUCGUGGAAUCUCCAGAGGCUCAGAGGAAUUGGAUUUUUCUACUUUAUGUACGUACUUCCCCACUCAUCCACUGGGCAAAGGGUCGAGCGCGUGAGGAAUAUCCCGGCGUUUCAGGUCUUCUGCGUCCAUCACGUCUUCGACUUUUUGUCGUCCAGCUCAUCACGAAAGCCAAGAAGCGAACAUCGAGCGUCGGCGGCAACAGCGCCAAGCAGCGGCUUGGGCUCUUCCGGCCUGGCCUCUCUCAGUUGCUGGACAACAUUUUACUGCCCGUCUCUAUCGUUGCAUUCCUAUUCCUCCUCUUUCGGCCGGCCAACUCGGAUCAGCGAGCCAAUGUCGUUGCUGGAAGUCCUUCACCAAUUUCCUAAUCACAGGAUUAUGAUUGAACAUUUAACCGCCGUGGCCACCCAGCGCAUCUAGGAGGAAUUGUACGUCAGGAUGAGGAGCCGAUGGAUUGGGCCCAGGAGCCGGAAGCCCAGCUCCAAGCUCGGCCCGCGUCCAUCAAGAACCUGGAAUCGGUGGACGAACCCUCCUCCUCUUUAGAAAUUAGCACUUUUACAGUACGUGGUGGACGGCUUUGGUCAGACUCCGUCGCGAGAUAUCCGCAACGUUUUGAAUUUCCCGGGAGGCGUUCCCGCCGCAACAACCGUCACGAAUUGAAUUCGGUUCACCAGUGCUCCCUGCCGGGCUACGAGUACAUCCGCGAGCUGCACUACCUCCCCCCGGUCCAUCAUCGCCCUGGAGAUCUUCUCUAACGAUGCCCGCAACCCCCUGCUGGCCUUCCCGCCAAACGUCCGCUAAGUGUCUACUAGCUGUUACUGGCCAAGGCCACGGCACUUUCCUACUCGGCCAGUCAGUCGGUCGGCCAGCCAGAAGUGGGCGGCCAAUGUGGAGUAGUCUACCGGCUUGAUGGACGAAACGUCGGUAAAACGACCUGCUGCAUUACCCAGUGAGAUCCUGGUGUCGGGCGACGGGAGGAACCGGAUCGUCUGGGAUUUUUCGCGUUUGACUUUUUAUCCGCCAGUCGACAGGGCACAGCGCGCCGCGACAUCAAAGACCUGACGGUUGACAUCUCCAUUUGCUCCGGCAAUUUUUAUUCUUUAGGUUUGUUUGUCGAUUGGAUCAUCUCACAAAUUAAGGACCCGAUUGGCUCUAAGGGAUUCGCUGCCGUUGUCUGAAGAGCAGCCACACCUUCAGCAACUGCUGCCGGAUAAUAAUAAAGUGGACGAUUAUUAUACGACAACAUCAAGAAAGGCCAACAGCAAGAACCGUGGCAGUCUGCUGCUGUACCACCAGGUCCAGCAGCAGCAGCAGAGCCCAGUGAACAGUCUGGAACGAUCCCUGCCCAGUGUCGUUUACCAUUUCCAUCGAUGUGUCGUCGUCAAUCAGCAACAAACAACGGGACAGUCUCAGCAGCCAGCAACUGCAACAACUAGAGCUCGGCCGGCAGUAGCACGAAGCCCAGCAAUAGUACGAUUGAAUCUCAAUAGCAGCCCAAGAUGGUCAACAAACAUGCUGAUACCAUUCGUGAGCACAAAACAACUGUUUCCUAUAUAACUAUAUGUGGUACACUUUUUAAAAUCCAUAACUUGCCACUCAUUUGAAAAUGUUGAUGUACUAGAUCUACUGCUGUGUAAUAAUAAUAAUAUACUUCUCAUGCGUGUAGCUGAUGCAAA